AGGACGAACGCUGGCGGCGUGCCUAACACAUGCAAGUGGAGCGACGACCCAGGCUUCGGCCUGGUGCAAAGCCGCGAACGGGUGAGUAACACGUGGGUAACCUGCCCCGAUGAUUGGGACAACCCGAGGAAACUCGGGCUAAUACCGAAUGUGCCCUACAGCCGUAAGGUUGCUGGGGAAAGGAAGCUUCGGCCUCCGCAUCGGGAUGGGCCCGCGGCCCAUUAGCUUGUUGGUGAGGUAAUGGCUCACCAAGGCUACGAUGGGUAGCUGGUCUGAGAGGACGAUCAGCCACACUGGGACUGAGACACGGCCCAGACUCCUACGGGAGGCAGCAGUAGGGAAUCUUGCGCAAUGGGCGAAAGCCUGACGCAGCCAUGCCGCGUGAAUGAUGAAGGUCUUAGGAUUGUAAAAUUCUUUCAGCGGGGACGAUAAUGACGGUACCGCAGAAGAAGCCCCGGCUAACUUCGUGCCAGCAGCCGC
rnacentral:rRNA from 1 species